UACGGAGGGUGCAAGCGUUAUCCGGAUUCACUGGGUUUAAAGGGUGCGUAGGAGGGCAGGUAAGUCAGUGGUGAAAUCUUCGAGCUUAACUCGGAAACUGCCGUUGAUACUAUCUGUCUUGAAUACCGUGGAGGUGAGCGGAAUAUGUCAUGUAGCGGUGAAAUGCUUAGAUAUGACAUAGAACACCAAUUGCGAAGGCAGCUCGCUACACGAAUAUUGACUCUGAGGCACGAAAGCGCGGGGAUCAAACAGG
rnacentral:rRNA from 1 species